GACGAACGCUGGCGGCGUGCUUAACACAUGCAAGUCGAACGAAGUGGCGAACGGGUGAGUAACGCGUAAUCAACCUGCCCUUCAGAGGGGGACAACAGUUGGAAACGACUGCUAAUACCGCAUACUGAAGGAGGGGAUUGCGUCGGAUUAGCUAGUGGGAGGGGUAAAGGCCCACCAAGGCGAUGAUCAGUAGCCGGUGUGAGAGGAUGAAUGGCCAAAAUGGGACCUGGACACGGCCCAGACUCCUACGGGAGGCAGCAGGGGGGAAUCUUCCGGAAUGGACGAAAGUCUGACGCAGCAACGCCGCGUGAGGGAAGACGGCCUUCGGGUUGGAAAGCUCUGUUAAUCGGGACGCGGUACCGAAAUAGAAAGCCACGGCUAACUACGUGCCAGCAGCCGCGGUAAUAC
rnacentral:rRNA from 1 species